rnacentral:rRNA from 1 species
UACGUAGGGUGCGAGCGUUGUCCGGAAUUAUUGGGCGUAAAGGGCUCGUAGGCGGUUUGUCGCGUCGGGAGUGAAAACCUUGGGCUUAACUCAGGGCUUGCUUUCGAUACGGGCAGACUAGAGGUAUGCAGGGGAGAACGGAAUUCCUGGUGUAGCGGUGAAAUGCGCAGAUAUCAGGAGGAACACCGGUGGCGAAGGCGGUUCUCUGGGCAACAACUGACGCUGAGGAGCGAAAGCGUGGGGAGCGAACAGG